rnacentral:rRNA from 1 species
CUUGCAACCGCGAAAAUGAAAGGAGGGAUGGGUUUCAGAAAUCUGGAGCUUUUCAACUUGUCUCUUAUAGGAAAGCAUGGUUGGAGGCUCAUUACGAGUCCGAAUUCGCUUUGUGCACGAGUGCUCAAAGGGAAGUACUUCCCGAAUACCGAUUUUCUCGGCAUUGGAGCACACCCGCACACUUCGGCUACCUGGCGAGCUAUUUUGGCAGGC